UACGUAGGGGGCAAGCGUUGUCCGGAAUCAUUGGGCGUAAAGCGCGUGUAGGCGGCCCGGUAAGUCCGCUGUGAAAGUCCAGGGCUCAACCCUGGAAUGCCGGUGGAUACUGUCGGGCUCGAGUCCGGAAGAGGCGAGUGGAAUUCCUGGUGUAGCGGUGAAAUGCGCAGAUAUCAAGAGGAACACCAAUGGCGAAGGCAGCUCGCUGGGACGGUACUGACGCUGAGACGCGAAAGCGUGGGGAGCAAACAGG
rnacentral:rRNA from 1 species